rnacentral:misc_RNA from 1 species
UUUAUGCCUCACUAUUGUGAUGAAAAUUUUAUAAGAUGUACCCUAGAGAAAGAAUGAAAACAAAAACAAGGGUCUUUGUAUUUGAAAGAGAUUUUUUUUUCCAAUCAAUAAGGAUGUUUCAUAAUUACAUGGAAUUAUUUUAAAACGAUAUCAUAGUGAAAAGAUGAAAUAAACUUUGUUAUGUCGACAUUUUUAAACUCUCUUUCCAUUUUGUACAUGUUAAAAGUAUUUUUAUUUUAUAUGUAUACCCCGGUACAGCUUUGUGUUUAUCUACUUAUAGAUUGAUUUGAAUUGACAUCUUCCUUUUAAUAUUUAAUAAAAAUCCAUCAUAUCUU